rnacentral:misc_RNA from 1 species
UAACGACAGAGCACGCCAGCGUAUAAGGGGGCGACCGCGCACGCAUCUGUAUAUCUAUAUACACCCACCCACCCACACACACACAUACACAGCGAUCGAUAUCGUGUCAGUGGGGCGGGCGAGAAAACAUCGAGAAGGGAUUUUUGUUUCGCCGCUGGAAAUACUCACACCUGCAACGACGCACGCGUACGCAUUCUUGCGAAGGCGCCCUGUCUCCCUCCCUUACCGCCGUGCAGCAGCUCUCCACUCCCUUCAGCUCUCCCUCUGCUGAGCCGUGCUGACUUAGUUUUUUGCUGUUCUCCCCCUCCCCACUCCUUUCUGCUUUCCCUUCCUUCUGACGUUCUGAAAACGAACCCACAAAACGUCCACAACGCGCAUCCCUCACGCACGCACCGAAAACACAUCCAGGAGCUCUCCCUCGCACGCGACACGCGCCCUUGGAAGUGGGUUCAGUGCUUGCGCGACUUCGAUGCGUCGAGGCCUCAUCGCUCUCGCUCGCCUGCCAACGCUCUCCCCCUCUUUUUUCCGUGCCUCGGAUUGCUGAUUGUUUCUUUUGGAUUAACCCUUGCCUUACAUACACAUAUAUUUAUUUAUUUAUCUUCCUCUGAAACGUCACUUCCGCUGCUGCUGCUGCUUCCCCCCUCCCCCUUCCCCUUUCCUGGGCUCUUUUACGGAAAGUGUCGCCUUUGCUGCACGUUAAGCCGGCCUCCCUCGUUGUUGGCACUGCCGCCACAACCACCCCAGCCGCCCCUCGCUUGUGCCGUCGCUGCCUAGCGUCCUUCCUCUCCGCCGACCCCCUCCAUCCCUCGUCGGCUGCGCGUCUGUUUAGCGUGUAUGUGCACGUGUGUCCUCGCUUGACUGGCACACGAGAGGCAACGUCGCUUACAGCAUUUCUGCAUAUGUGUGUAUGUAUACAUAUAUGAACAUACAUAUCUCUCUAUACACGGAACACGCCGGACACGUACACUAAACGCCCAGCGGCGUUCUUCGGGGCCAAGAAGUCGCCGUGAGUUGAUACUGUCAAGCGGCGCCAUGCUCAACUCACUCGUGGACAUGCCGGUGCCGGUGACGGUGCGCCCUCUGCGCAUGCUGGGCGGCGGCAGCUCCACCUCAAAGGACUGCAAGAACGGGCACCCGUCGCCACGCGGCAUGCAAAACGGACGCUCAUCGCCCUACAUGAGAAACACUCACGCGAGCGCAAGGGGCACCACCGGCCAAGCCGCCAGCGCCGCGAUGCCGCUCGUCGCCGACCCUCUCACUAACAUGAAGAGCACGGUGAUCAUGAGCUCGCCAACGCCGCCGCCACCACGGCCGACGAUCACCAUCUUCGCGGAUCUCGAAGACGACGUGGGGGCUGGUGGCCUGAGCUUCGGUAAAGCUAGCCGCGCCACGGUGAGCAGCGUGGCUGCGGGCGGUAGCUGUCGCCGCGUCGAGCACGACCCCCUCACCUUCACCCAGACCCUCUUGUCGCCUCACGGCUACAGCUCACUGUGUCAGCAUGCGAAAGCCGAAGUAGCGGCGGAAUCGGCGUUCUCAUCAUCGAGCGAGAGGGCAGGCAUAGAAGCGAUGCGGCGGAAGAGCGGCUCUCUCUUGCCGGCCGGUGGAGACCGCAGUCCUGAGAGGAUAUGUAGCGGCAGUUUCAGAGUGUUCAGCCCUGCCGACUCCGCUGAACUUGCCGCGCAGACGGACUCGAGUCUCCCUUCAGGGUUGCCGAAUGAUAUAUCGUGGUUUCACCGCCGGACGACAACGUACCCCGGGAGUGAGGAUGCGGAGCCGCAUCCCUUACGCAUCUCCGCGACACCCGUCGUGCCCAUCGUUCCGCACGUCGCCGAGCCAUCGUCGCGCAAACGUGUGGCGGAGGAUAUGCAGCGACUUUACGGUGGUACCGGUGCAGCAGCGGGGUCGAUCGCGGUGUGCUCUGCCAAAGAAGCAUCACAGGCGUCCACCUCUGUGGCAACAAGGGACGUGUCGUGGUCGAGCGGUUGUACAGGGAACACAACCGACGCCUCUCAGUCGCCGCGGCUGGCAGCUAAGAAAGACAAAAAGCUUUCCUUGCUCACCCCCUUCACCUCUUCCGCCUCCAAGAAGCCAACGAAGGUGGAAGACAAGACACCGCCGUCGACAGCGGCUGACCGACGGCAGGCGCGCGAGCAGAUCAUCCGGGUCGGAGUGCAGCGGCUGUACCAACGCCUCAACGAGCUGCGCCUGGUUGUCUACCGCGUCCGCAACGAUGGCAACUGCCAGUUCCGGGCCAUUUCGCACCAACUGUUUGGCAAUGAGGACUACCAUGACAUCAUCCGCAGCCAGAUCGUGUCCUACAUGCGGGCGGCACGAGCAAGAAGCUUCGACUACUACUUCGAGUCGCCUGCACAUGCAGACGCAUACUACCACAACUUAGCCAAGCCAGGGUCUUGGGGAGACGAGCUGUCGCUGCGAGCAGCGAGCGACUGCCUCUACGUGAAUAUCCAUGUCUUGUCCUCCGAGGAGCGCAACUGCUACAUCACCUAUCGCCCCUCGUCCGACUACGCCGCCUCGGCACCGUCGUUUCUCGUAGAUGUGUGGAAGCUGCGGGAGCGCCGCCGGGCCGAGCGUCGCCUUCUCCGCGCAUACGGGCCGCAACAGCAGCAGCAACAGCAGGGCCACAGCAGCAGCAACGCUUUCGGAGAUUCGCGGCAGGCGUCGUUGUACGCCGGCCCCCAAGGCAUCGGCAGCGAUGACGAGGGCGAGAUGGACGCCAACGCGAUCCAGCUGGCCCUGCACCGUAGGUUGCAGCAGUCCGAAAUCCGCUGCAGCUUGCCGCUCUCGGCGACGGGCAGCUACAACAGCAGCGGUGGCGGUGGUGGCUUCAGUCUCGGGGCGGCGACGAUGCCGCUCCUGCAGCCUCAGUCGACGACGAAGAAGCCUAGCCAACUAUUGACACCGGCGGCAGUGCCGGUUCCUCGCCUCUCUAGCGGCAACGAGGGCGCCUCAGAUGACGGCGCUGCGAAUCAGGUGGCGAAGUUCCGCGCUGUUGGUGCUGAGGUACAGUCACUCGAUAAGGCCACACAGGCCGUCAACAUCUUUACCCAACGAAAGGAGUCGGCCAACGCCUACAACACGAAUGAUGUUGCCGUCUGCUUUCCCCGCAAGCACAAUGAGGAUGCUACGCGUCCGCCGUUCGCUGGCACGGCGUCACUUGAGCUGUCACGCUCAUCGUCGCCUCACCCGCAGGCGCAACACCACGGCCUGACAAUGUCUGGCAGCACAACAGAAGAGGCGCCGGUCUCCGGUGGCACGCGGCGGGCCGACACCAUGACCUCCUUUCAGGCGCUUUCACCGACGAUGCGGCAAGGGGACGAGGCUGGCGAGGUCAUGCUCCUUGCGUCGAGCAUGCACCGCAGUCGAACGACUCAGUCGUUGCAGCGGAGCUUCUCUUGCAUGCAGAGAGCGAGCUCGGUAACCGGCCCUGCAGACCACUUCAACGGCCUCAACGCGCGAAGCAGCGCCCACGCACCUUCCGCCGGUGGUGGCGAGAGUGGUGCUAGCUCUCAGCUCCUCGGCAGCCUUGUCCCGCGUGCUGCGACAACUUCUUUCCGACUCGGCGCCGAUGAUGACGGUAGCCUGCCGAGUGGCUCGGAUGCUGGCAGUGGCGCUAAUCAGGGCGUCUGCUGCUUUUCUUUUGAGCCACGAACAGAGCCGAUCGACAUCUUCCUGUCGUACCUUUAUCCAGUACACUACAACUCGCUCAGUGUGAAACAGGAGCAGGAGCCGGCUGCUGGCACCGUGCCCACGGCUGAGGCGACGGCAACGCCUUCUACACCACCGCCGCCACAGUCGAGUGGGAAUGUCAGCGCUCGCUGAAGCGUGCGCGUAUAGGUUGGUGCGCGCGCCUUCUCCCCGUCCCUGGAGCCUACCUCCACGGCUUCCGCGCAGCAUCCAUGGCGCCCGCGUGUGUGCAGCGAUAGCGGCUCACUCUUCUCACUGUAUUCCUUUUCUCGCUCCCACAGAGAUGCAGCACGACGCCCCUCAAACCGUUCGCGAUGGGUGGGCUCGAGGUGGCUCUCCGUGACGUCCACGGCGGCCCUACCCCGGGCAUCGACAAGCCUGGCCGUGAAAGCCUCACGCACCUCCCCAUGCACGGCAAGAGAGCGCUGCCGAGCAUCCACAAUUAGAGCGUUGUCACCGGCCGCGUCCCUACUGCAUGAAAAGCGGGGCUCGGUGCGGGUCCUUCCUGAGGCCGCGCAACCCCGAUGAUGGUCCUGCAUCCUACCGUCUCUGUGACCCUUACCAGCCAUCUGCGCAAGCCACUUGAGCGAAUUGCCUCGCGACCACUGCGCAACUAUCUGCAAGACAAGUACCAGCUGGGGGGCACCAAGGCAGGCGCAGUGCUUGCGGACUCUAGGGCUCGCACGGUCGAGUAGGUCGAUCACGGCGUUAUCAUCACGGCGCUGAAGGCGUUCAAUGCAGCCCUGUGCCUUUCUCGCCGGGUCGUGGACUUGGCAGCCUGUCGUCGCGUCUUUGCUCGCUUCCUCGAGAACAGGUUGAAGAUGGCGAUGUGUGCAAGCGGAGUCACACAAGGAUCAGUCCCCUAGACCCCUUCCUCGUCACUGUAGUGGACUCGCUGACUGUGGAGCAGGGGGAGUGCUUGGGCUUCACCUGCUGCGAGGGCAAGUCCAUUACCCGAGGCACAGAAAAAAAAAAACAGGUAUGAAUGCCUUAACGGACUUGCUCUUCUUCCUCACGGCGAUCGACACGGAUCUCUUCUGCUUGACACACCCCGCACCUGUGAACAGGCGGGCGUGUCCAGAAGGCGCCGUGUCUCAUGCCGCCCCAGGUUCAGAGCAGCGUUCCACGUGUCGCGGCGCAUGCGGGCAGGCCAUCCAGACACACCUCACCAUGGCAUCGGCGGAAAUGGCAGAUGAAGGCAGCGAAUCUCUCAGUCGGCAACGCCGCCCUGAAGUAGGCCCCAGGACGCAGACAUGUGAGCACUGCGCACACGCGCUGUCAUGCAUAGCUGGCAUAGUGUGCCACAUCGAAGCAGAGCAUCCGGAGAGGUCAGCAGAGCAAGAGGGAUAGACGAGAGGGGCGCGAAGAGAUCCAUGCGAAUGAGCCCCACAGCGCAGGUGUGCGAAGAGCAUGCUACAUGCGCUAUAUCCCACCGGGUGGGCUGAUGAGGCAGCGAUGCCAGAAAUAUGACGAGAGGUACCCCAAGCUACACCAUCGAGUCCUCCAGAUGUCAAUGUGAAGAGUCUCCACACCACACUAUUCCAUGCCGCGGUUUGAAGCGACAGAGGGAGGCAUGGCAUACGGGCUGUGCACAGGGUCUCAGGGCCCUGGGCUCGUGCGGCAUGCACCUGGGGUUGCAGCCAAUAUAAUGUGAGCGGCUGUGAGGGGUGGGCGAGUGGGUAGAGUCUGAAGCAGAGGCCUUGCUGAGCUAAAUGAGUCGUUGCGUUGCUGUAACGCGUGUGUCUAGCGCUGCACUGCACCAGGCGAUGAGGGGCCUGCGGCAGGCCCAAGUGGGGGUCGAGUGGCGUUCAGCUCAUGCUGUAAAGCCGAGAAAUGGAGACGUUG